GUUUGAUCAUGGCUCAGAUUGAACGCUGGCGGCAGGCCUAACACAUGCAAGUCGAGCGGAAACGAGUUAUCWGAACCUUCGGGGRASGAUARCGGCGUCGAGCGGCGGACGGGUGAGUAAUGCCUAGGAAAUUGCCCUGAUGUGGGGGAUAACCAUUGGAAACGAUGGCUAAUACCGCAUGAUGCCUACGGGCCAAAGAGGGGGACCUUCGGGCCUCUCGCGUCAGGAUAUGCCUAGGUGGGAUUAGCUAGUUGGUGAGGUAAGGGCUCACCAAGGCGACGAUCCCUAGCUGGUCUGAGAGGAUGAUCAGCCACACUGGAACUGAGACACGGUCCAGACUCCUACGGGAGGCAGCAGUGGGGAAUAUUGCACAAUGGGCGCAAGCCUGAUGCAGCCAUGCCGCGUGU
rnacentral:rRNA from 1 species